AAUGAACGCUGGCGGCAGGCCUAACACAUGCAAGUCGAACGGAGUCCUUCGGGAUUAGUGGCGGACGGGUGAGUAACGCGUGGGAACAUACCCUUUGGUACGGAAUAGCCUCGGGAAACUGGGAGUAAUACCGUAUGUGGUCGAGAGACGAAAGAUUUAUCGCCAAAGGAUUGGCCCGCGUUGGAUUAGAUAGAUGGCGGGGUAACGGCCCACCAUGUCAGCGAUGGGUAGCCGAGCUGAGAGGCUGAUCGGCCACACUGGAACUGAGACACGGUCCAGACUCCUACGGGAGGCAGCAGUGGGGAAUAUUGGGCAAUGGGCGCAAGCCUGACCCAGCAACGCCGCGUGAGGGAAGAAGGCUUUCGGGUUGUAAACCUCUGUCCUUGGUGACGAAAAAAAUGACGGUAGCCAAGGAGGAAGCCCCGGCUAACUACGUG
rnacentral:rRNA from 1 species